UGAGAUAAUGGUAAAAAAACACACCUAAACUAUCACCUUUUCGCGAUUUCAAACCCCAAGUAUCAUCUGUUCCCUUUUCCUACCUGAACUAUCACCAUCUAUGUAUUAAAACACACCUCGAAGCUGAUUAGGUCAACUCCUUUUCUUAUCUGAACUAUCACUUAGGUGUGUGUUAAUACACAAAGAGUUCAGGCAGAAAAGGGAACAACUGAUUAUGAAACUCGCGAAAAGUGAUAGUUCAAACAAAUUGACCAUUAUCUCUUUUUAACUUCUACAUAAUAGGUUUCACUCUUAGCACAUACUAAGCUGCAGUUCAGAAUAGCUGAUAGAACAACAUAGCUGCAAUUAAAGUUAAAUAACCAGAACGAAUGAGUUUUCGAAG